rnacentral:tRNA from 1 species
AACAGUGUAGCACAGUGGGUAAGGAACUGGGCUCGUAACCGAAAGGUCGUAGGUUCGAUUCCAGGACACUGCCG